rnacentral:rRNA from 1 species
AUUGAACGCUGGCGGCAUGCCUUACACAUGCAAGUCGAACGGCAGCACGGGUGCUUGCACCUGGUGGCGAGUGGCGAACGGGUGAGUAAUACAUCGGAACAUGUCCUGUAGUGGGGGAUAGCCCGGCGAAAGCCGGAUUAAUACCGCAUACGAUCUACGGAUGACAGCGGGGGACCUUCGGGCCUCGCGCUAUAGGGUUGGCCGAUGGCUGAUUAGCUAGUUGGUGGGGUAAAGGCCUACCAAGGCGACGAUCAGUAGCUGGUCUGAGAGGACGACCAGCCACACUGGGACUGAGACACGGCCCAGACUCCUACGGGAGGCAGCAGUGGGGAAUUUUGGACAAUGAGCGAAAGCCUGAUCCAGCAAUGCCGCGUGUGUGAAGAAGGCCUUCGGGUUGUAAAGCACUUUUGUCCGGAAAGAAAUCCUUGGCCCUAAUACGGUCGGGGGAUGACGGUACCGGAAGAAUAAGCACCGGCUAACUACGUG